rnacentral:rRNA from 1 species
UCGAGGAUCAUUCGCAAUGGGCGAAAGCCUGACGAUGCGACGCUGCGUGGAGGAUGAAGGCCCUCGGGUCGUAAACUCCUGUCAUGAGGGAAAAAGGUGCCGGGCAUGAAUAAUGUUCGGCCUAGAUGGUACCUCAAGAGGAAGCCACGGCUAACUCUGUGCCAGCAGCCGCGGUAAUACAGAGGUGGCAAGCGUUGUUCGGAUUUACUGGGCGUAAAGGGCGCGUAGGCGGUCCCGUGUGUCGAGUGUGAAAUCUCCGGGCUCAACCCGGAAAGUGCGCUCGAAACUGCGGAACUUGAGCACAGGAGGGGAGAGCGGAAUUCAAGGUGUAGCGGUGAAAUGCGUUGAUAUCUUGAAGAACACCGGUGGCGAAGGCGGCUCUCUGGAAUGUUGCUGACGCUGAGGCGCGAAAGUUGGGGGAGCAAACAGG